UCUAAAUCUAACUAAAAUCACAAUUAAUCAUGAAUUAACCUAAUUACUAGAACUAAUCUACUUAAUCACUAAAACUAUCUUAAUCCUAAUUAAAAAACAAGAAGAAUCUAAAUUUAUCCUAACAAAAGAUAUCAGUGGCAAUACUAAUUAACAAAAAUUAAAUAAAAUCACCAUGAUUAAUUAUGGAUUAAGGAGGAUUAAGGACUAAUAAUGGGCCAGGGUGUGUGUGGAUGAAGGGGUUCAUGAAGGAGGGCUUGUUUGCUUGGGCCAAAGGCUCAAGUCUUCCAUCACAAUUCCGGAUCCCAUGAAGAUCCAAGACGCAUCUUCAUCUUUCAGUCAAAGGAAACAAAUUCUUCCAAUCAACAUCCGGGGGAAUUCACUGACGAAGCAUAACGAAACGGAUUCAGACAUCAUCCACACGCCAUUGCCAUCAACACGUCGUCAACGAGAAUCCGAGGCUCGCUCCGAUCGGAUUCAAAAGUCAAGAACAUCAACGGUACCAAAACGAAUUCGAUUGCACGCAUAUUCGAAAAGAGUGAAGAAGGAGGAACCUACCGGAUUUAUUGACGACUCCAGAUGACGUAUUCGAUUCUUGUUCUUUCGUUCUUCUUCACUUCUUCUAUUUCCGUUCUUCUCCGCUUGUGUUGUCGUGAGAGAGCUGGUUCUUGGAAGGUUGAGGGUGAGCGAGGAAAUUGAAGAUGUUCGAAGAGGGAGUUCUCUUUAUGUUUAUUCUGCAGGGUCAUUUUUUGCAGUGAAGUUUUUUUGGAAAAUUUGUAGGUAUUGUGAGGUUUUUCAGUUGAUGAGGGUGGUGAACUCAGUUCCACUAUGUCAGUUGGAGGAAGCAGUUAGAAAAUGCUGCUGAGUUUUCUGUGGGAGCUUUUUUUUUGGUGUCUGGUUGUUGCAGAGUUAGUUUAGGGUUGAAGCAGGGUGGUUAGGAGAGGUUAUGGAGUUAGAGGUGGUUUGUACUUUGAAGGGUUCAGUUAAAGGUUAUUGAAGUGGUUGAAGUCUUGUUCUGUUAUCAGGUCGUGAAUGAGAGUCUGUUAGGAAACAGUUAGAGGGCUAUUGGUUUUAAUUCAGUUUGCAGGUUGUUGGGAUGUGAUAUAAGGUGUUUUAAUUCUGUUAGGAAACAGUACUAGGAUCUUGGUAAGUUUUUUGUCUCACCACAUAUCAAAUGGUUACUUAUUUGAUUCGGAUGGUCUGAUUUUGUAGCCAUAACGUGACGACUAGGUGUCACGGUGUCCUUGUCUGAAUGCCGCCUGGCUGAGUCCGAAGCAUUGACAACCAACUCACCUUUUUUUUUUAUCUAUGAUACGGUCUUCACCACCUCUGUGAGACUUGUCCAGCUUAAGAGGAUGACUCUUAUUCUUGUUAGGAAGGUUUGGACUUGGCAUGCUUGAUGGAUGAAGUGCAUUACUCACUUGGAGUGCUUAGGAUUUAUUGGAUUCAUGACUGUUUUUUUUGGAUAUUCUUUUGUAGGAUUUGUGUUGAAUGUGAUGGUUUAGAGUAGGGUUUAUGUAAAAAAGUGGAAAUGAUGUAAUGUAUGAUUUUUGUUUUGAAAUUGAAAUGGAAUGGUAUAUGUGUGGUA